AGCAAAUUAUUUUAUAGCAUAAUUUCACCUCUUUCUACAUAGAAAAACUUGUUUUUGUGCCAGUCGUUCUGUGCGAAUUGUACAAAAGAGCAGCUAUUGGUAAUUUAGCUUCUAAACACACACACUUUCAUAAUUCAGCCAAUAAAUGCUAAUUAGUUAAGCAGUCCAAGUCAUUACCAUAAUUUACCUCCUUCUCGUUACAGUAAAUGUGUUCCGUGC